rnacentral:rRNA from 1 species
GAACGCUGGCGGCGUGCCUAACACAUGCAAGUCGAACGAAGCACUUCUGAUCGGAGAUUCGUCAAAGGAUUGGAUUUGACUUAGUGGCGGACGGGUGAGUAAUGUAUGAGCAACCUGCCUUUCAGAGGGGGACAACAGUUGGAAACGACUGCUAAUACCGCAUAAUGUAUUGAGAGGGCAUCCUUUUGAUACCAAAGGAGCAAUCUGCUGAAAGAUGGGCUCAUAUCUGAUUAGUUAGUUGGCAGGGUAACGGCCUACCAAGACUGCGAUCAGUAGCCGGACUGACGAGGUUGAACGGCCACAUUGGGACUGAGAUACGGCCCAGACUCCUACGGGAGGCAGCAGUGGGGAAUAUUGGGCAAUGGGCGAAAGCCUGACCCAGCAACGCCGCGUGAAGGAAGAAGGUCUUCGGAUUGUAAACUUCUUUUAAUGAGGGACGAAGGAUGUGACGGUACCUCAUGAAUAAGCCACGGCUAACUACGUGCC